ensembl:lncRNA
UAGAAAUGUUCUUUUAAUAAAUGUACUAAAUAAGAUGCAUAAUUUAGCUCCUUCUCUGUAGCCUGCCGGCCAGCUGCCAGCUCUGAACUCCUUCUCGGCCUCUCUCUUUUCCUCCUCCCUUGAUCUCUCACCAUCCCUCCCUUGGGUUUGACUCAGCACGGAAAUUACCUGCUGGCCUGGUAAAAACAAUCUCAUUAAAAAGCCAUCACAGUUGUGCCUGAUGGCUUCAUUUGUCCCCCAGUGGCUCAAUUUAUACCUUCCUUUGGAACAAGCAGAGAGUGAGUACUCUCCAGGAUGGCUUUUUCCAGCUGUACUAUAUGCAUCCCAACAGACCACAGGCCUCAAGUAAAAGUCAACAAGCUGAGAAUCCGAAGACCUUGUUUUAAGAUAGACCGUUGGAAAACUGUUUGCUAUCUGACAGAAAGAAAAGAGACAGACUAUCACAGCAAAGAGAAGACCAUCCAGGAAUUUAAAAUAUUAAACAUCAAGCCUAGAUUUGGUUUGGAUCAUCAUCCGGCCCACCGACAAGUUUUCACCAAGUACAGAGCUCAAAAGGCGCAAGAAGAUGAUUCAAAGCCUUUUCCUGCACGGAAAUCACUUUCUGAGUUGCUCUGUGGGGAAAAGAGCGAGAUGAAAUGAGCCCAAAUGCUUUGCAUGCUUGAUCUGAAGUGGAUCUGACAAGGACACACCAAGGAGGUGUCGGCGUUGGUAGCCAGAGCGGUGCUGCUGCACAGCAAGUUGGAGGCACAGAAUCUAUAGCGACAGAGAAUCAGUCCAAAUAGGAUUAAUUUAAGACUGCCUGUCACUUGUGACUCUUUGAGCUAGCUGUAUUCCGAGGACUGACUGGGAUUGCAAAAUGGCCUUGAACUUGUUUUUACUUAUAACUAGCAGCUGUAUGGAGAAGGCAAUGGCACCCCACUCCAGUACUCUUGCCUGGAAAAUCCCAUGGACGGAGGAGCCUGGUAGGCUGCAGUCCAUGGGGUCGGAAGAGUCAGACAUGACUGAGUGACUUCACUUUCACUCUUCACUUUCCUGCAUUGGAGAAGGAAAUGGCAACCCACUCCAGUGUUCUUGCCUGGAGAAUCCCAGAGAUGUGGGAGCCUAAUGGGCUGUCGUCUAUGGGGUCGCACAGAGUCGGACACAACUGAAGCGACUUAGCAGCAGCAGCACCAGCAGCAGCAGCUGUAUGAUGCAUAGCAGUUGGUGAUGGACAGGGAGGCCUGGAGUGCUGCGAUUCAUGGGGUUGCAAAGAGUCUGACAUGACUGAGUGACUGAACUGAACUGAACUGGACUGAGCAGCUGUAUGAACUCGCCAUUUCCCACCCCCCAAAUUUAGCACAUACGUGCUACCUCACUUCAGCCAUGUCCGACUCUUUGCAACCUCAUGGGCUGUAGCCUUUCAGGCUGCUCUGUCCACAGGAUUCUCCAGGCAAGAAUAUUGGAGUGGGCUGCCACUCCUUCAGGGGAUGUUUCUGAACCAGGGAUCAAACCCGCAUCCUUCACAUCCCCUGCAUUGGCAGCCGGUUUCUUUACCACUGGCACCACCUAGGAUUUGCAAUAUUUAGUGCAUAAGAGGAUGAAAAAUUGAAGGAAAACUAAUAGAAGGUAAGUGAAUUGUCCAUGGAGGUAGACUCCCUCUUACUUAAGGAGGUCCCAAGGGCAUGUAUUUCAAGGAAUAUGCUUACAAUAUUAGUUCGCUUAGGAAGGAAGUUUCCAUUUUUAGAGUUCAUAUUGACAUGGUAGCUUCUCAACAGCAACUCAGCUGUAAUCCCUUGAGAUAUGAGAAAGUCAGUGUCAUUCCAGGAGUGAUGUUGGAAGUGGAUUUCUGGCUACUCUUCAUGAAAAAAGAAACAUAUAUGUGUUCUAUAAGGAAUACAGAAAAAAAAUGAAAACCUAUCCCAGAAUCACCAAAUACUAGAAAUAAAAACAAUCUGUCAGAUUAUCUAUUUCA